rnacentral:snRNA from 1 species
AUUCUUACCUGGCAGGGGAGAUACCACGAUCACAAGGUGGUUUUCUCAGGGCGAGGCUUAUCCGUUGCACUGCGGGAUGUGCUGACCGCUGGCGAUUUGCGCGAAAUGUGGGAAACUGCGACUGCGAAAAAA